GUUUGAUCAUGGCUCWGGAUUWAACGYGGCGGSUGUGCCUAAUACAUGCAAWGUCGAACGAGUUCUGAUUAUUGAARGGUGCUUGCAUCUUGAUUUAAUUUUGAACGAGUGGCGGACGGGUGAGUAACACGUGGGUAACCUGCCCUUAAGUGGGGGAUAACAUUUGGAAACAGAUGCUAAUACCGCAUAAAUCCAAGAACCGCAUGGUUCUUGGCUGAAAGAUGGCGYAAGCUAUCGCUUUUGGAUGGACCCGCGGCGUAUUAGCUAGUUGGUGAGGUAACGGCUCACCAAGGCAAUGAUACGUAGCCGAACUGAGAGGUUGAUCGGCCACAUUGGGACUGAGACACGGCCCAAACUCCUACGGGAGGCAGCAGUAGGGAAUCUUCCACAAUGGACGCAAGUCUGAUGGAGCAACGCCGCGUGAGUGAAGAAGGCUUUCGGGUCGUAAAACUCUGUUGUUGGAGAAGAAUGGUCGGCAGAGUAACUGUUGUCGGCGUGACGGUAUCCAACCAGAAAGCCACGGCUAACUACGUGCCAGCAGCCGCGGUAAUACGUAGGUGGCAAGCGUUAUCCGGAUUUAUUGGGCGUAAAGCGAGCGCAGGCGGUUUUUUAAGUCUGAUGUGAAAGCCCUCGGCUUAACCGAGGAAGUGCAUCGGAAACUGGGAAACUUGAGUGCAGAAGAGGACAGUGGAACUCCAUGUGUAGCGGUGAAAUGCGUAGAUAUAUGGAAGAACACCAGUGGCGAAGGCGGCUGUCUGGUCUGUAACKACGCKAGGUYCGAAAGCWKKG
rnacentral:rRNA from 1 species